UGUAAGCGUAUACCAAAGUUGUUGCAGUUAAGACGCUCGUAGUCGGAAUUUGGCAGUUCCGGAUGUGUGCACGUCGUGUGCGCACUUCGCGGGGAUUGCUUUUGUGGUCUUGCGUAGGAUGAGGCACUUUUAUUAGUGAACGUCCUCACGCAACCACUUUUUACUGUGAGAAAAUCAGAGUGCUCAAAGCAGGCAUUUGCCGUGAAUGUAUUAGCAUGGAAUAAUAGAAUAGGACUUGGUUCUAUUUUGUUGGUUUGUUGGGACUGAGUAAUGAUUAAGAGGGACAGUUGGGGGCAUUUGUAUUUCGGUGCUAGGGGUGAAAUUCUUAGAUUACCGAAAGACAAACUGCUGCGAAAGCGUCUGCCAAGGAUGUUUUCAUUGA
rnacentral:rRNA from 1 species